ACUCAAAUGAAUUGACGGGGGCCCGCACAAGCAGCGGAGCGUGUGGUUUAAUUCGACGCAACGCGCAGAACCUUACCAGGGCUUGACAUCCUCGGGACCCGCCUGAAAGGGUGGGGUGCCUUCGGGAGCCGAGAGACAGGUGCUGCAUGGCUGUCGUCAGCUCGUGUCGUGAGAUGUUGGGUUAAGUCCCGCAACGAGCGCAACCCUCGUGCCUAGUUAUGGUGAUGUCUAGGCAGACUGCCGGGCGCAACCCGGAGGAAGGGGGGGAUGACGUCAAGUCAGCAUGGCCCUUACGCCCUGGGCGACACACACGCUACAAUGGCCGGGACAGCGGGCAGCCAAGCGGUAACGCGGAGCCAAUCCCUGUAAACCCGGUCUCAGUUCGGAUUGCGGGCUGCAACUCGCCCGCAUGAAGUCGGAGUUGCUAGUAACCGCCGGUCAGCCAUACGGCGGUGAAUAUGUUCCCGGGCCUUGUACACACCGCCCGU
rnacentral:rRNA from 1 species